GAUGAACGCUGGCGGCGUGCCUAAUACAUGCAAGUCGAGCGAACGGACGAGAAGCUUGCUUCUCUGAUGUUAGCGGCGGACGGGUGAGUAACACGUGGAUAACCUACCUAUAAGACUGGGAUAACUUCGGGAAACCGGAGCUAAUACCGGAUAAUAUUUUGAACCGCAUGGUUCAAAAGUGAAAGACGGUCUUGCUGUCACUUAUAGAUGGAUCCGCGCUGCAUUAGCUAGUUGGUAAGGUAACGGCUUACCAAGGCAACGAUGCAUAGCCGACCUGAGAGGGUGAUCGGCCACACGGGAACUAAGACACGGUCCGGACUCCUACGGGAGGCAGCAGUAGGGAAUCUUCCGCAAUGGGCGAAAGCCUGACGGAGCAACGCCGCGUGAGUGAGGAAGGGCUUCGGAUCGUAAAACUCUGUUAUUAGGGAAGAACAUAUGUGUAAGUAACUGUGCACAUCUUGACGGUACCUAAGCAGAAAGCCACGGCUAACUACGU
rnacentral:rRNA from 1 species